AACCAUAGAAACCUGCGGAGUACCUGCGGAGGGAUCAUUACCGAGUGUGGCCCCAUUUUUAAAACAAAUAGGGGUACCUCCCGUCCUUUGCAGGGCCCUUUGGGGCUUUUUGAACUUUGCUUCGGCGGGUUUUAUCCCGCCGGAACACCCUCAAGAAAAUCUUUUUAAAAAUACUGUCGUCUGAGCAUUUACAAAAUAAAACAAAACUUUUAACAACGGAUCUCAGAUCGGAAGAGCACA
rnacentral:misc_RNA from 1 species